ACGUAAUUCAACAUGGUUGACAUUGAUGAAGAAGACGAUGUUUUAUGUUGGUUCAAUAAAGUUUUUUAUUCUUUAAAAAGACUAUGUUUAAGUGGGGGAGAAUGGUAUGUCAAUUGUUGACACAACAUUGUUGGAUUGUUGCAAGCUGUUCUAACUUGUGGACGAGUUUUUUUCAAGUGGGGAAGUAUGAUACAGAACUAGAUUUUCAAUUUAAUAUUUCCUAAUCUAAUUAGGAUUUUAUUUUAGUG
rnacentral:misc_RNA from 1 species